rnacentral:rRNA from 1 species
UACGUAGGGACCAAGCGUUGUUCGGAUUUACUGGGCGUAAAGGGCGCGUAGGCGGCCUGCUAAGUCGAACGUGAAAUCCCUGGGCUCAACCCAGGAACUGCGUCCGAUACUGGUUGGCUUGAAUCCGGGAGAGGGAUGUGGAAUUCCAGGUGUAGCGGUGAAAUGCGUAGAUAUCUGGAGGAACACCGGUGGCGAAGGCGACAUCCUGGACCGGUAUUGACGCUGAUGCGCGAAAGCGUGGGGAGCGAACAGG